GGCUCGGCAAGGCAAACUCUUUCCUGGCCCACAGUGAAUCCGCGGGUUAGAGGAUGGCCAUAAAGGGGUCCACACCGAUUGCGCUGUCCUGGGACUUGUUCCCCUGGCCUGGCGUUCCACCUCCUACCACCACGCAUUUGCCUGGAAAGCUUCUAUCCCUGGCUUCAUCUCCUAAACCAGACCUUUCCUAACACCCCAAGUCGUUGGUAAUCCCCCCCAAACCACACCUCUACAAAUUAUUUUAAAUAUCACGAUGAUGAUAGCUAAUUCCUGCCUAUUGUUUAUCGCUGUGCCCAGGACCAGAAGUAUUGUCCUGCUCCGUCUUCACAAGAACUCCAGGAGGCAGACACUAUUAUUAUCCCCAUUUUACAGAUGGAAAAACAGAGGCAGAUAGAGGUGAAGAGCCUGCCCAAGGCCAUACAGCUUGUGAGGAUCUGAGGUUCUCUCCCCUCCCUCAAGGUGAGGAGGACUGAAGGAAUCAAGUUGGAGAAGACUCUACCCUUCCAUUCCCCCAAAGGCUCGCUGUUCCACUCCUCUGUGAAGUGCCCUACAAGGAAUUCCUCCCACAUUUGCCAAUGGCUUCCAGGAUCUUCCAAGAAGCGUCAGGUCUACCAGGAGGCCAGACAGGACGCGCUUAAGAGCCCAGAAAGGGGGGCCUGGGCUCUCUCCUCAAAUCCAUGCCACCCCCUUCCCCUCCCCUCCUGUUGCCGGCACUGUAAUGGCCUCUGCCAGGCUCUGCAUUCCGUGUUCUCCCCUGCCCAUCCAGCCUUCCGCCUGUUGCUGAUUGUCUUGAGAGGGCGUCGAGCCCCUGAGUCGCAGGCCAAACAAAGCCCAGCUCUUUCAUCUCCCCUCAGAAGGGUCUUGGAGAUCCUGCAGCCCUCUUCUCUCCCUCCAGGGAUGAGGAAAAGAGACCUAGGGUGGGCUUCUUUGGAACUCGGGUCGCAUGCACCAAGUAGGAAGCAGAAGGCAAACAGCAGAGCCUUUCACUGGGACGAGAUAGCAAAAUAAAUACAGAACUGUGGAAAGUCAGACCAGGGAGUACGUUCGGGGCCUUGUGCAAGGUGCCAGGACACGAAAACAAACCGUACAAGGCCCUGACGUCAGAACGUUGAUGUCCUCCUAGCAGGAGAAUUGUCCUCAGGCUCCUGGACAUAAAUGAAUGCAGGGGCAGUUAGAUAAGUCCUGGGCAAGUCACUGAAACCCCGUUACCUAGCCCUUGGAACCAAUCCACAGUGUCCAUUCUAAGACAAAAGAUAAGAGCUUUUAAAUAAAUAAAUAAAAUGAAAACUGUUUCCCA
rnacentral:lncRNA from 1 species